AGUGGGGUUGUGUGUUCAUGUGUUUGAGAAUUUAUUGUCCCAUGUGUCAGUUAUAAUUAUCUUUUGCUGUAAAAAAAAUUAUUUAUUGUAAUUCUUUUUACUGUAGGUCCUGCUGUGUUUGGGGAUCUACGAACCUAUGGAUGGAAUAUGUGAUGGAAUAAUUAUCAUUCGCCUCGGGCAAAGAAAGAUGCAACUAACAUUUAGGCAACUGCCUAGCAUUCUCUGUCGGGAUCUCCUGGUUUGGAACGAACCAGCCAAGGCCACAGCACUUCAUAGAUGGCAACGACCUCUGCGUACAUCCUGGUGGUGAAGAGGGAAGUGAGCUAUUCCUAGCGAUUUCGAGGGUGUCUUGCUCUUUUUGGAGCAGUAGUCGCCAAUUAGCUCCUUGGCCAACUCGUGACGAAAUGAGAGGAGGGUUUUCAGUGCGUUGGGCAUCUGUAGUACCCUCUGAGCUGAUCCCCUCUGUCGACACCCCCCAUGAAGUGAUUAUAGUCCUCGAUGCUCUGUGGGCACGGGACGGAGAUUUUUUCGCCCGUCUUGACUGUACGUUGUACAGAGGUGACCGAAGUGGCGUCAGAGGCUGUGGAGAUCACACGGACAACCCUAUUGUCCUUCCAAGCUGAGACCGUCACCUUGUCUUUCUGGAGAGUCAUGUAUUCCCCCCUGAAAAGUGCUGACGAGCUAAUUAACUCGUCUCCUUCACAGUGUGCCUUUGGCCUCACUCUGCACACAGGAAAACUGUUUGAACCCAUCCAACAUCCAACAUCCAUGUUGUUAUUUACCAUUUAUUACUUGCUCUUUGAAGUUAAAGCGACACUUUUUAAUUUUUAAUAAUUACGA